AUUGAACGCUGGCGGCAGGCCUAACACAUGCAAGUCGAACGAGUGGCGGACGGGUGAGUAAUGUCUGGGAAACUGCCUGAUGGAGGGGGAUAAAUACUGGAAACGGUAGCUAAUACCGCAUACCAUCGGAUGUGCCCCGCUGGGAUUCGCUAGUAGGUGGGGUAAAGGCUCACCUAGGCGAAGAUCCAUCGCUGGUCGUAGAGGAGGACCAGCCCAACUGGAACUGAGACACUGUCCAGACUCCUACGGGAGGCAGCAGUGGGGAAUAUUGCACAAUGGGCGCAAGCCUGAUGCAGCCAUGCCGCGUGUAUGAAGAAGGCCUUCGGGUUGUAAAGUACUUUCAGCGGGGAGGCGUUACCCGCAGAAGAAGCACCGGCUAACUCCGUGCCAGCAGCCGCGGUAAUUC
rnacentral:rRNA from 1 species